AGUUAUAGUACCUGGUAAAGACCAAGCUGCCCAUGCUUGAAAAACUGCCACCUGUCCAAUUCAGGGGUAUUUGAUGUCCAAAAACAUUGAAACUGAACUAAGAGUUGAGGGAACUAAGCCAUAUAGUGGAGUAACUAAGCCAUUUUUGUGUUUUGUGAGACAAAAGGUAACCAGAUGUGCAAGCCAACCAAGCCAUUCUACUGUUCCUAACUGAUUCAGUUUUGUCUCAAUGGCAAACUUUAUGUCACAUCACUACUUUUGCAAGG
rnacentral:lncRNA from 1 species